rnacentral:rRNA from 1 species
AUUGAACGCUGGCGGCAGGCCUAACACAUGCAAGUCGAACGAGUGGCGGACGGGUGAGUAAUGUCUGGGAAACUGCCUGUUGGAGGGGGAUAACUACUGGAAACGGUAGCUAAUACCGCAUACCCUCGGAUGUGCCCAGAUGGGAUUAGCUAGUAGGUGGGGUAAAGGCUCACAUAGGCGACGAUCCCUAGCUGGUCUGAGAGGAUGACCAGCCACACUGGAACGGGGACACGGUCCAGACCCCUACGGGAGGCAGCAUUGGGGAAUAUUGAACAAUGGGCGCAAGCCUGAUGAAGCCAUGCCGCGUGUAGGAAGAAGGCCUUCGGGUUGUAAAGUACUUUCAGCGGGGAGGCGUUACCCGAAGAAGAAGCACCGGCUAACUCCGUGCCAGCAGCCGCGGUAAUUC